rnacentral:rRNA from 1 species
GAUGAACGCUGGCGGCGUGCCUAAUACAUGCAAGUCGAGCGAACAGACGAGGAGCUUGCUCCUCUGACGUUAGCGGCGGACGGGUGAGUAACACGUGGAUAACCUACCUAUAAGACUGGGAUAACUUCGGGAAACCGGAGCUAAUACCGGAUGAUAUAUUGAACCGCAUGGUUCAAUAGUGAAAGACGGUUUUGCUGUCACUUAUAGAUGGAUCCGCGCCGCAUUAGCUAGUUGGUAAGGUAACGGCUUACCAAGGCAACGAUGCGUAGCCGACCUGAGAGGGUGAUCGGCCACACGGGAACUGAGACACGGUCCAGACUCCUACGGGAGGCAGCAGUAGGGAAUCUUCCGCAAUGGGCGAAAGCCUGACGGAGCAACGCCGCGUGAGUGAUGAAGGUCUUCGGAUCGUAAAACUCUGUUAUUAGGGAAGAACAAAUGUGUAAGUAACUAUGCACGUCUUGACGGUACCUAAUCAGAAAGCCACGGCUAACUACGUG